ACGGAAGGCAGCAGUGAGGAAUAUUGGUCAAUGGACGCAAGUCUGAACCAGCCAAGUAGCGUGCAGGAUGACGGCCCUAUGGGUUGUAAACUGCUUUUAUCAGGGAAUAAAGUGAGGCAUGUAUGCCUUUUUGCAUGUACCUGAUGAAUAAGGACCGGCUAAUUCCGUGCCAGCAGCCGCGGUAAUACGGAAGGUCCGGGCGUUAUCCGGAUUUAUUGGGUUUAAAGGGAGCGUAGGCCGGAGGUUAAGCGUGUUGUGAAAUGUAGUUGCUCAACAUCUGCACUGCAGCGCGAACUGGCUUCCUUGAGUACGCGGAAAGCAGGCGGAAUUCGUUGUGUAGCGGUGAAAUGCUUAGAUAUGACGAAGAACUCCGAUUGCGAAGGCAGCUUGCUGUAGCGCCACUGACGCUGAAGCUCGAAAGUGUGGGUAUCGAACAGGAUUAGAUACCCUGGUA
rnacentral:rRNA from 1 species